UACGAAGGGGGCUAGCGUUGUUCGGAAUCACUGGGCGUAAAGCGCACGUAGGCGGAUCUCUAAGUCAGGGGUGAAAUCCUGAGGCUCAACCUCAGAACUGCCUUUGAUACUGGAGAUCUCGAGUCCGGGAGAGGUGAGUGGAACUGCGAGUGUAGAGGUGAAAUUCGUAGAUAUUCGCAAGAACACCAGUGGCGAAGGCGGCUCACUGGCCCGGUACUGACGCUGAGGCACGAAAGCGUGGGGAGCAAACAGG
rnacentral:rRNA from 1 species